UAUAUUCAUCUCGUGUUGGAGGCCACUGGCUCAGACAACGGGAGAGCUUUGAAGGGCCUUGCUCCUGGCAGAGGCACAGUCAAGGUGGCACACCAGGAAAGCUCUUCAGGGUUGGAAUAUUCGUCGCACUGUUCCAUCCACUGAACAAAUUGCACAGGGAUCUGUAGACCUGCAACAUUUCAAGUAAAGGAAAAUCACGUCUCAUUCUGUCAAAGCUUUUCCUUGAUCCAGCCUGAAAAGGUCCUUCAGUAAAGAAUAGCACCUAAAGAAAUGCUUCCAGUUCACACCCUUCUAACUUUUGAGUAAACCUUGAGUGUAGGCCAAAGGGUAUCAAAAUGGCUCCAAAUGCACAGAUUCAGCAGCUCUCCUCUGUCUGGACACAGUCAAAGCAUUCAAUAAAAGGAAAAAGUGGAAGAAAGAUUGUUUUGUUUCUUUCUUCUGAAAUGGUGACAAGCUGAAAACGAUCUAAUUGUCCAAAAUAAAACUGGCAGAGUCAAUUAUGGUAAGGCAAC